GUGGAGCCAACCUUGAGAUACCACCCUGGCAUGAUUUAGAGUUCUAACCUAGGUCCGUUAUCCGGAUCAGGGACAUUGUAUGGUGGGUAGUUUGACUGGGGCGGUCUCCUCCUAAAGAGUAACGGAGGAGCACAAAGGUUCCCUCAGCGCGGUCGGUAUCGCGCAUUAAGAGUGUAAAGGCAUAAGGGAGCUUGACUGCGAGACAGACAUGUCGAGCAGGAGCGAAAGCUGGUCUUAGUGAUCCGGUGGUUCUGUAUGGAAGGGCCAUCGCUCAACGAAUAAAAGGUACGCCGGGGAUAACAGGCUAAUUCCCCCCAAGAGUUCACAUCGACGGGGGAGUUUGGCACCUCGAUGUCGGCUCAUCACAUCCUGGGGCUGUAGCAGGUCCCAAGGGUAUGGCUGUUCGCCAUUUAAAGUGGUACGCGAGCUGGGUUUAGAACGUCGUGAGACAGUUCGGUCCCUAUCUGGUGCGUUCGUUGGAAACUUGAAGGGAGCUGCUCCUAGUACGAGAGGACCGGAGUGGACGUACCCCUGGUGUUCCGGUUGUCACGCCAGUGGCAUUGCCGGGUAGCUAUGUACGGAAGGGAUAACCGCUGAAAGCAUCUAAGCGGGAAGCCCACCCUAAGAUAAGGUUUCCCUGGAUCCUUGAGAUCCCUGAAGGGCCAUCGAAGACUACGAUGUUGAUAGGUCGGGUGUGGAAGCUCAGUAAUGAGUGUAGCUAACCGAUACUAAUUACCCGUGAGGCUUG
rnacentral:rRNA from 1 species